rnacentral:rRNA from 1 species
AUGGUGGUCACGGAGUAUAUUUCCAAAGGAAAUCUAAGUGACUUCCUUCACAAGGAUAGCAUUCCCAUCACUUUGGAUACACGGCUAAGAAUUGCCAUUGAUUGUGCAGAAGCAUUGGCCUAUAUGCAUUCACAAAUGUAUACUCAGGUCAUUCAUGGUGAUAUCAAGCCUGAUAAUAUACUUCUGGAUGAUGGACUCAGAGCAGAAAUAUCAGACUUUGGAAUAUCAAGACUAGUCAACACUGAAAAUACUCUAUAUACUCUAAAUAAUAUAGGAAGUAUCGGCUACAUGGACCCUCUGUUUGCUCAGAAUGGUCGCCUCACAGCAAAGAGUGAUGUUUAUAGUUUUGGAAUUGUACUCCUGGAACUGAUCACUAGAAAGCAGUGCAAGACCAGAGGAUGGGGAGAUUGGCUUGGUUGA